GGCUUGGUAGCGCUCGGAGUGCGUCGGCAUUUAAUGACUUAGAAAAAUAUAACACAAAGGAUGUCCUGCGGAAGGUGCUCGUUCGACUCGAGCCCAGGCCA